AUACGGAGGGUCCGAGCGUUAAUCGGAAUUACUGGGCGUAAAGCGCGCGUAGGUGGAUGUAUAAGUCAGAUGUGAAAGCCCUGGGCUCAACCUAGGAACUGCAUUUGAAACUGUACGUCUAGAGUAUGGUAGAGGUGAGUGGAAUUUCAGGUGUAGCGGUGAAAUGCGUAGAGAUCUGAAGGAACAUCAGUGGCGAAGGCGACUCACUGGGCCAUUACCGACACUGAGGUGCGAAAGCGUGGGUAGCAAACAGGAUUAGAAACCCUAGUAGUCC
rnacentral:rRNA from 1 species